rnacentral:misc_RNA from 1 species
CCAAUAGCGUAUAUUAAAGUUGUUGUGGUUAAAAAGCUCGUAGUUGAACCUUGGGCCUGGCUGGCCGGUCCGCCUCACCGCGUGUACUGGUCCGGCCGGGCCUUUCCCUCUGUGGAACCUCAUGCCCUUCACUGGGUGUGACGGGGAAGCAGGACUUUUACUGUGAAAAAAUUAGAGUGCUCCAAGCAGGCCUAUGCUCGAAUACAUUAGCAUGGAAUAAUAAAAUAGGACGUGCGGUUCUAUUUUGUUGGUUUCUAGGACCGCCGUAAUGAUUAAUAGGGACAGUCGGGGGCAUCAGUAUUCAAUUGUCAGAGGUGAAAUUCUUGGAUUUAUUGAAGACUAACUACUGCGAAAGCAUUUGCCAAGGAUGUUUUCAUUAAUCAGGAACGAAAGUUAGGGGAUCGAAGACGAUCAGAUACCGUCGUAGUCUUAACCAUAAACUAUGCCGACUAGGAAUCAGACGAUGUUAAUUUUUUAAUGACUCGUUUGGCACCUUACG